CCUACGGGUGGCAGCAGUGAGGAAUAUUGGUCAAUGGCCGAGAGGCUGAACCAGCCAAGUCGCGUGAGGGAAGAAUGUCCUAUGGAUUGUAAACCUCUUUUGUCAGGGAGCAAAGUCACCCACGUGUGGGUGUUUGCGUGUACCUUAAGAAAAAGCAUCGGCUAACUCCGUGCCAGCAGCCGCGGUAAUACGGAGGAUGCGAGCGUUAUCCGGAUUUAUUGGGUUUAAAGGGUGCGUAGGCGGGUUAUCAAGUCAGCGGUGAAAUCGUGGAGCUCAACUCCAGCCAGCCGUUGAAACUGAUGAGCUGGAGUGGGCGAGAAGUAUGCGGAAUGCGUGGUGUAGCGGUGAAAUGCAUAGAUAUCACGCAGAACUCCGAUUGCGAAGGCAGCAUACCGGAGCGCGACUGACGCUGAAGCACGAAAGCGUGGGUAUCGAACAGGAUUAGAUACCCGGGUAGUC
rnacentral:rRNA from 1 species